UACGUAGGGUGCGAGCGUUAAUCGGAAUUACUGGGCGUAAAGCGUGCGCAGGCGGUUCGUUGUGUCUGAUGUGAAAGCUCCGGGCUCAACCUGGGAAUGGCAUUGGAAACUGGCGAGCUAGAGUGUGGCAGAGGGGGGUGGAAUUCCGCGUGUAGCAGUGAAAUGCGUAGAGAUGCGGAGGAACACCGAUGGCGAAGGCAGCCCCCUGGGCUGACACUGACGCUCAGGCACGAAAGCGUGGGGAGCAAACAGG
rnacentral:rRNA from 1 species